rnacentral:rRNA from 1 species
UUUCACUCUAGCGAGACUGCCGUUGACAAAACGGAGGAAGGCGGGGACGACGUCAAAUCAUCAUGCCCCUUAUGUCCCGGGCUACACACGUAAUACAAUGGCGGUCAACAGAGGGAAGCAAAACCGCGAGGCAGAGCAAACCCCUAAAAGCCGUCUCAGUUCGGAUUGCAGGCUGCAACUCGCCUGCAUGAAGUUGGAAUUGCUAGUAAUCGUGGAUCAGCAUGCCACGGUGAAUACGUUCCCGGGCCUUGUACACACCGCCCGUCACACCAUGAGAGUUGGGAACACCCGAAGUCCGUAGUCUAACCGCAAGGAGGGCGCGGCCGAAGGUGGGCCUGAUAAUUGGGGUGAAGUCGUAACAAGGUAACCGUAAA